CAGGGACCCCAUUUUUGGGGCUGAAAAUCCCAAUGUAGGGAUUUGGGGACCCCAUUUUGGGGCUAAAAAUGUCCUUUUUUUUAUUCAGGGACCCCAUUUGGGGGCUAAAAAUGCCUUUUUUGGGCUUCGGAGACCCCAUUUUGGGGCUGAAAAUCCCAUUGCGCCUCUGUAUGCAAACGAUAUGCAAAUGACAUGCAAACGAGGAGCAGCCCCCUGCACUCUUUGAACCAAAACGACCCCUUUCCCCCCCAAACCCGUGAUGACGUCAUCACCCCACCCUUUCCGUCCCAAUUUCUGCUUUUUUCCACCCAAAGUGGAAGGAGGAACCAAAACCGACUCUGGAGCCGCCCGAAGUCGUUAAUGAGCCAACGUUAAUUAGCGCCAAUUAACGAGGUGAGCGGGGAGGGGCGAAGAACACCGCUAUGGGGGGCUCUGAGGCCUCAUUUUGGGGCGAGAAAAUCCAAUCUGGGGGCUGAAAAUGGCACUUUGGGGGCUGAAAAUCUCAAUUUGGGGAUUCAUGGAGCCCGUUUUGGGGCUGAAAACGGCACUUUUGGGAUCGAGACUCCAUUUUAGGGCUGAAAGUCUCAAUUUUGGGCUUCUGGGACCCAAUUUCAGGGUUGAAAAUUCCAUUUUGGGGCUGAAAAAUCUCAUUUUGAGGCUGAAAACGGCACUUUUUGGGCUUAAAAAUGUCAUUUCGGAAAGCGAGGAACUCCAUUUUGGGGCUGAAAAUCCCAAUUUUGGAGCUGAGGAACUCCAUUUUGGGGCUGAAAAUCCCAUUUCUUCGUGUCAGGACUCCAUUUUGGGGCCAAAGUGCCCCACUUUGGGUUGGGCGCUGCUUUUAUUGGGGUUCCAAACCGGUUUUGGGAGUUUCGGAACCGGUUUGUGUGGGGACUCCGCCCCAUUUUGGGUCCUAAUUAUGGGUUUUGGGGCCACCCUGACCCCAUUGCGGGCCGUAAUGGUAUGUUUUGGGGCUCAAAAUCGCACUUUGGGGCUGAAAAUCGCACUUUAGGGGGCUGAAAAUCUCAUUUCUGGAAUGGAGGUACUCCGUUUUGGGGCUGAAAAUGGCACUUUUUGGGCUUAAAAAAUGUCAUUUUGGAAGAUGAGGAACUCCGUUUUAGGACUGAAAAUCCCCGUUUUUGGACUGAAAAUGGCAAUUCUGGGGCUGAAAAUCGCAUUUCUGGAAUAGAAGAACUGCAUUUUGGGGCUGAAAAUGGCACUUCUGGUGUUGAAAAGAGCACUGUGGGGCUGAAAACGGCACUUUUGGGGCUGAAAAUCCGUUUUUGGAGUUCUGGAACUGAGUUUUGGGGCUGAAAAUGGCACUUCGGGGCUGAAAAUCCCAAUAUGGGGGCAGAAAAUCCCCUUUUUUUUUUUUUUUUUGGAGCUGAGGAUCUCCAUUUUGGGGCUGAAAGUCCCAUUUUGGGGUCCGAAAAUAGCACUUCUGGGGCUGAAAAAUCUCAGUUUUGGAGCCGAGGAUGUGCAUUUUGGGGCUGAAAAUGGCACUUUUGGGGCUGAAAAUCCCAUUUCUUCGUGUCAGGAUCUCCAUUUUGGGGCCAAAGUGCCCCAAUUUGGGUUGGGCGCCGCUUUUAUUGGGGUUCCAAACCGGAUUUGGGAGUUUUGGAACCGGUUUGUUUGGGGACUCCGCCCCAUUUUGGGUCCUAAUUAUGGGUUUUGGGGCCACCCUGACCCCAUUGCGGGCCGUAAUGAUCCGUUUUGGGGCUGAAUCACCCCAUUUUGGGGCUGAAUCAGAGCAUUUUGGGGGUGUAAUGAGGGGUUUUGGGGCGCCCCACAUCCGGUGCCGGAUCCCAUAAAAGGGGGUGGAAGAGGGCAACGUUUGGGCCAAAAAGGGCCGAAUUGGGGCAAAAAGAGCAGCGGAGAACUUUUUGGGGUUUCUCCCUAUGGGGCGGCUCUGCCGGUGCCGAAAACGUCGCAAAGGGAUCCGAAGAGCCCGAAACGCUCCGCCCCCUCAGGGCCGCGUUCCUCCCCCCGCGAUGACGUCACCUCUGAUGACGUCACUGCACAUCGCCGCCGUGGUCACGUGGCCGCCCCCCUCCAUCGCCCUCCUCGGCGGUCCCAAAGCGGCGCUUUUUUACCCCAAAAGCGGAGUCGGAAUGAAGGGAUGAAAAUGGCGGUUUUUGGUCACGGCGGGGCGGAAUUUUGGGGGCAAAAAUGGGGAUUUCGGGGGGUAAAAAUGGCGAUUUUUGAGCAAUAAAAGAGUGAAUUUGGGGGCAAAAAUGGGGGGUUUUGUGAGUGAGAAAUGGGGAUUUUGGGUAAUUUUGGGCAAAAAAUGGGGAUUUUAGGACUAAAAAUGUCAAUUUGGGGCAAAAAUGGCGAUUUUUGUGAGUGAAAAAUGGGGAUUUGGGGGCAAAAAUGGGGAAUUUGGGGUUAAAAAUGGGGAUUUCGGGGGGUAAAAAUGGCGAUUUUUGAGCAGUAAAAGAGUGAAUUUGGGGGCAAAAAUGGGGGGUUUUGUGAGUGAGAAAUGCGGAUUUGGGGUAAUUUUGGGCAAAAAUGGGGAUUUUAGGACUAAAAAUGCCCAUUUGGGGCAGAAGUGGCGAUUUUUGUGAGCGAAAAAUUGGGGUUUUGGCGUUAAAAAUAUGGAUUUUGGGGGGCAAUUCGGGGUCAAAAAUGGGGAUUUUGGGGCAAAAAUGGGGAAAUUGGGGGUUAAAAAUGGGGAUUUGAGGCAAAAAUGAUGAUUUUUGUGAGUAAAAAAUGGGGAUAUUGGGGAAAAAACGGGGAUUUGGGGGUUAAAAAUGUGAAUUUUGGGGGGAAAAUGGCGAUUUUUGAGCAAUAAAAGUGUGAAUUUUUGGCAAAAAUGGGUUUUGUGAGUGAGAAAUAUGGCUUUGGGGCAAUUUUGGGCAAAAAAAUGGGGAUUUUAGGAGUAAAAAUGUCGAUUUGGGGGCAAAAAUGGCGAUUUUUGUGAGUAAAAAUGGGAUUUGGGGUUAAAAAUGGGGAUUUGGGGGCAAAAAUGGCGAUUUUUGAGCAAUAAAAGCGUGAAUUUGGGGCAAAAAUGGCGAUUUUCGUGAGUAAAAAAUGGGGAUAUUGGG
ensembl:lncRNA